CUGCUUUCCCAUCCUGACAGAGGUGCCCUGACAUGUGAGAUAUUAGCAUCAGGGCGAAGCUGGGGGAGGGGCAUGUGGACACUCUCUGUACCAUUGUUGUAAGUUUUCUGUAAAUCUGAAGUUAUUCCAAAAUUAAAAGUUUAUUUAAGACCCACUAUGUAUAUACGAUGUGAUCUCCCAUUUUGUUUUUUUAAAAAAGUAUACAUACAUCAAGGUCUGGGAGAAUAUUCACCAGCAUGUUAAUUUUAGUAAUAUCUCAAGGGUGGGAUUAUGAGCAAUUUUAAUUUAAUUUUGAUCAUUUGAAUGCUCUUUUUUUUUUAGCUUUAUUGAGGUUAUGUUGACAUAUAACACUGUGUGAUUUAAGGUGUACAAUGUGUUGAUUUGAGACAUGUAUCUAUUGCAAUAUGACCACCACUGUAACGUUAGCUAACACCUCCAUCACAUCACAUAAUCACCAUUUCUUUUUUGUUAUCAUGUUUAAAAUCUACUCUCUUAGCAAUUUUCAAGCAUACAAUAUAUACGGUUAAUUAUAAUCACAAUGCUGUACAUUAGAUCCCUGGAUCUUUUUUUUUAAAUAAAGGAAUAUGUACCACUUGUGUAAUUAAAAAAAAUUCAAACCUGAAGCGUCACUGGGGGAUGCUGAGAGCAGCUCAAUUCCCAGCCACCCCACCCAGCCUCCUCAGUGCCCUGAAGGUCUGGAACCCAGCCAUUCUGGACAGUUUCUUUCACUUCUCUCCAGUUGCUAAUUGGCGUGACCACCCCUCACCCCUGGAAACUCCAGAAUUUCAGGAUCUGAAAUUUUCUUCUUUGAUCCCAAUCAGCUAUCCUCUCACCUCAGUCAUUCUCUCAUUCCUACUGACUUGUUCUCUGGUCCCGUAGGCCCCCCACCUUCUCCCAGCCAAUCACCCUCAUUGGGGUUUACUUCCUCCCUUCCUACCCUGGCUCCAAAUCAGACACUCCAACAAUGUGCUUCCUGCCAUCCUCUCUGCCAAUCUUCAGCCUUAACCCCUACGACCAUCCAUUUUUCUGGCUCCUACUCCUGGGCACACUGGGACAGGCGAAAGAAACUGGCCCAUUCAUGCUCUCUCAAUUCAUCCUCCACCAGUAUGUGUUAAAAAAAAAAAACAAAAAAAACACCCACAAGUUUCUCGUUAUCUGUAUGACUCCUCAUUACAGUUCUAAACAUUACAAACUUUCUCUGCAAGGCUUCAACUCUAACUUGACCAAGAAUACACACUCUGUUCCUUGAAAUAUUGCCCCCUACCUGUCCUCAAACCCGCCAGUUCACCCCAGAAUUUCCCUGGAUCAUCACCCACGGUUUUUCUUCCCUACUGUCUCUGAGGAAGAAGAGUUCCUUCUGCUUACCAAGGACCCGAUCUCUCCUGCAUCUUCUCAGCAUUUUCUCCAUUGAGCAUCUUCUAUAUCUUGUCCAUCUUGGCUCUCCUUCUUUCUUCUUUCUCCGGGACAAACUUUAUGAAUGAGAAUCACCCUAAUCACCUCUAGUUCUUUGCCAUUCACUCCUCAUGCAACAUCCCCACUGCCCUGUAACCUCUUACAGUUGACUGUGACCUCAACAUAACCAAACCUGCUGGCCACUUGCUCUGUCCUCCUCACCGAGCACUCCACGGGAUUUAACACCAGUUCCCUCCCGAAAAACUUCCAUCAUCUCUAGGCUAUUCCCCACCGUUGUUUUCCUUCUAACUUUCCAACUACUCCUUUUUAGUCUCCUCUGAUUCCUUUCUCUCCUCCAACUUCCUAAACACAGAGGAUCUCCCAGGAUUCAGCUUCCAGUCUUGUCUUACUCUGCCCCCUCCCCAUCUUUGGCAAGCUCACCAUCCCCCUGACUUCCUCUAGCCAUCUCUCUGGAAGAAUCCCUACCAGACAGCUUCUGAGUUCCCAUCUGGAAUGUCCAACUUCCUGGUGAGCAUCUCUGAGUGGGUGUCCCAGAGUACCUCAAGCUCAUUAUAACCACAAUCAUUAUCUCCAUUCCCUAGCCCCAACAAACCCUGCCUUCAGACUUCCCCCGUUCUUUCCAAAGACCAUUCUUUUCAAUGACUGGUCUCCACCCUUUCCCUAACUUACCCACCAAAUCCAUUCGACCACCAGGUCCAGCCAGUUCUAUAUUAGCCCUGUCUCUAGCCUACACCCCUUUGUGCUUGGUCCUCUCUUCCCCCAUCUGGUUCCGGCCUUCCUUGCCUGGACUAUGGCAAUAUCCCCAUUCAUGACCACGGGCCUCUCACCCUGCCCCACUCUCGCUAAUCCCAGCAGAGCAACAGCCUGUAAAGCUGGGGCAACCAUAUAGUUUAUCAUCCAAACCAGGAUGCUUUUGACAGGGAAAGGGGGCUCUGUAAAAUAAUAAUAAAAAUAAAAAUAAAUAGCAGUGGGACAAUAGGCACAAACUGGAACUACCCUGGGCACACGGUCAUCCUACCUAAAGGACACGUCUGAUCCCAUCCCUUGCCUGCUAAAGACCUUCCCUGACUCCCUUUGAUAAGUUCAGAUUCAUGCUGGUGUUCAAGUUCCACCUUUGAGCCUCUGUUCCAAGCACCCCACUCUCCUAAUAAGCAGAACUACACAUGGGUCCUUAAACCUGACUCAUUCUAUCCCAGUCCUGUGCCUUUGUUCAUGCUCUCCCCUUCUUCAGGAAAUCUUUGUCUCCAACUCUGCUUCCCAAAUUCUAUCCAUAUUUCAAGACCAAAACCACAAACCACCCUCCAUGCGGUCUCCCCUCAUCCUUUUCUUGCACCUCUUCUGUAGCACUUUGCACUUCCUCCUUAGUAGGAUGUUAUUUCUACACUUGGCUCUAUCAAGGAUGCUGAUCAGCAGCUGCACACGGCCCACUCCCAGCCAGCUCUUUGGGCAGCUGCUUACGAUGUGGCCUGGCAUUAAAAGAUGAGCUGGGCCAAUCCGAUUUCCUCUCCUGGGAAUUGGAACUAUGAAAUACAGAGAGACUAGAGCAGUUAGCAGAGGUGAUGUAGAGAAAGACUCAGAGAGGCCGGCUGGUCAAAUGCAAGUCACAGUUAUGAGAAAUUAUGAGGAAACCCAAGCAGCUCUCAAUGCUGCAUGGGGGUCAAAAGCAGCUAUGAGCUGGGGCUCUGGAGGCCGACCUGAGUGAGAAUCCUGACUCCUCCACUUCCUGGCUUGAACCUGGGGCAGGACACCUAGCCUCCUUGAGCCUCAGUGUUCUCACAUGUAAAAUGGGGAUGACGAUAUUAGCUAACUCACAGUGUUCUCAAGAGGAUUAACUGAGAUAAGCACGGAAACCAACGCGUCUGGCAUUUAGUAAGUGCUCAGAACUCACUACUUAUCACUCCUCCUCCUAUUAUAACAAUAAUAAUUCUUAAUUUCACUAGUGUUAAUUAGAGGAGAGACACAUGGAGAAAAGAGAGACCCUGUGAGGUGACUUUCCACCUUACCAUGAGAGAGAAGUUGGUCCCCAGAGCUGCCUCAGUCCCUGUGUGCUUUCUGGGCCCAGUUCCAAUGCUGAACCAUGUGCUUCAACAUGAAGGCCCUCCUUUUUCUUGUGAUUACUUGAAUGAACCUGUUUCUUGCAGACGGAAGGACCCCCGCCCAGACUGCUGUCUUCCCCUUGCGUUUGGACCCGAGCUCCUCACCGUCCAGCACAGUGCUCUGGCUACCUCAGCAUCCUGCCGGGACCUUGAAAACAGCUGAUGCUCAUUGCUUACCAAUGAAUGAAUGAAUGAAUGAAUGUGUGCAUAAGAUUCCAAGUCCUUUCUAGGGAACCUGCAGAAAGGCUAUUUUUAGGAGACUCAGAAAUCCAUGGAGUACAUGGUUAAGGGACAGUCACCACCCUGGUUCAUGGGCUUGUCCCUCAAAGCAGGGAAGAAGGAAGGCCAGGACUAGGAUCACUGUGGAGGACUGAUGCUGCAGGGUCCCCUCCCUGAGUUCUGGCCUUGCCCACAUGCUCCAGGCCUUGCCUCUUCCUUUCCUCACUCCCUCUGGCCCCAGGGUGAGGGGCAAUAGGGUCACAGGAGGGGCAAUUGAGGGAAGAGAUCUGCCAGGUCAGUUUGCCAGCCUGCUGAAACGAGGCCAAGGCAUCACCUACCAGGCCUGGUCCCCUCCCUUGUCCAGCCUCAUCCCUCCACUCCUCCACCCAUACCCAAGAACCCCAGCCACACUCACAUCUUUUCAGACCCUUACCUUCCCUGUGCUCUUUCCUUCUAUGUCUUUGCACAUGCUAUUCCCUCCCCCUCACAUACCUUUCCCUGCCUUCACCUCCAACAAAAACUCUUACCAGUCUUAACACCCAGGUCAGAGCCAGCCCCUGCUGGAAUCUUCCCUGGAUCUUCCAAGCAGGGUUAAAUGCUCCUGCUCUGUGCUUCCACAGCCCUUGUGGAAAUUUUCAUGAGCCCUAGCUCAUCGCUCCAAUUACCCGUGUACUUGUCCGUCUUCCUCUGAGAAGGUUUCAAGGACAGGAAUUAUGCCCUAGUCAUCAUUGUGCCCCCAGGGCUUAGCAAAUGACUUGGCACAUAGUGGGCUUUCAUUAAGUGUUUGUUGACUGACUGUAUGAAUGCAUGAAUAGAUUAAUUAACAAUUUCUCCCAGCUCUGGGAUCCCUGGAUGCUGCUGUUUUCUGCUCUGGCUGUCUUAGGCAUUUUCUGAAGCCUUCUGCAGUCUCGUGACUGUUUCUUCCAAAGGCACCCCCACUCACCCCAGGUUUCCAGAAACAUCUGGUGUCCACAAUGCAGGACACUGCAGGCAUAUGGAAGUGGCGUGUUUCGAGGCUAGAGAUUUGGGGCUUAGGAACUGAGCAGAGACCACAGGAGAAUGAGGACAAAGUGGGGCAGGCUGGGGACUAGAAUGUCUUCAUUGGCCAUUUGGGUCCUGAUGGGCAGGUCCAGGCUCUCUUUUCCAGACAGGCCUCUGACUGGGCUCCAGGGCAUGGCUGCCACUUGCCUGCCCUCCUACCUCCCCCGGCCCAUGGCUGAGCGGCUGGCGGAGGCAGUGCUGGGACAGCCCGAGCAGACAGCCUUGCGCGAUUGCUGGCUCCAGGCCUCCCAGCCCAGCUUGUAGCUCCCCCCAGAGUGGCGGGAUUGAUUGGCUGCAGCCGGAAUGGGCACCAGUCUCCCUGGCUUGGACAGAAACGGGGCCAUCUGUUACACCUCUAGUUAAAAGUACAUAAAGUUGAGCAUUUGUGCGCCGACAAUACCACCCCUGACACCCUCCACGCGGCACAGCGCUCCGGCUCCUUGGCAGGCUUGCGCUCCGCGACAGGCCGCACAGCAAUGCCUACACGCUGGCUGGGCUGGCACCACCGCAGGCACCACAGUUCUGCCCCCCUGGCGGCCUAGCCCAGCUGGAUCCAGCCUAGAAGCCUA
rnacentral:lncRNA from 1 species